GCAGCCGCGGUAAUACGGAGGGUGCGAGCGUUAAUCGGAAUUACUGGGCGUAAAGGGUGCGUAGGUGGUUGAAUAAGUUAUCUGUGAAAUCCCUGGGCUCAACCUGGGAAGGUCAGAUAAGACUGUUUGACUCGAGUAUGGGAGAGGGUAGUGGAAUUUCCGGUGUAGCGGUGAAAUGCGUAGAGAUCGGAAGGAACACCAGUGGCGAAGGCGGCUACCUGGCCUAAUACUGACACUGAAGCACGAAAGCGUGGGGAGCAAACAGGAUUAGAUACCCUGGUAGUCCACGCCGUAAACGAUGUCAACUAGCUGUUGGAA
rnacentral:rRNA from 1 species